rnacentral:rRNA from 1 species
UUGUCGAAACCUGCAUAGCAGAACGACCCGUGAACAUGUAACAACAUACGGGUGUCCCUUAACAUGUAACAACUYGUCGGUUGUUUUGGCUUUUGGUUGCUUUUCUGGCAGACGUGCUAGGUGGGUGGUCAUUAGUUCGAAGACUUUCAGAGAUGUUACCCGUAAUUGGAUGCCUUGUUGAUGUGCGUAUUUAGUCUGCCCUUUGGGACCUAGGUACGCCACAUUGGCACAACAACAACCCCCGGCACGGUAUGUGCCAAGGAAAAAGAAACUUAAGAAGGGCUCGUACCAUGCUUCCCCGUUUGCGGGGAUGGUAUGGGAUGUGGCUUCUUUAUAAAUCACAAACGACUCUCGGCAACGGAUAUCUCGGCUCACGCAUCGAUGAAGAACGUAGCAAAAUGCGAUACUUGGUGUGAAUUGCAGAAUCCCGUGAACCAUCGAGUUUUUGAACGCAAGUUGCGCCCGAAGCCUUCCGGCUGAGGGCACGUCUGCCUGGGCGUCACACAUCGCGUCGCCCCCACCAAGCCUCCUCGACGGGGAUGCUCGGUUGCGGGCGGAGACUGGUCUCCCGUUCACAUGGUGCGGUUGGCUAAAAAAUGAGUCCUCUUCGACGGACACACAAUUAGUGGUGGUUGAAAAGGCCCUCUUAUCAAGUUGUGUGUUCCAAGGAGUAAGGAAGAUCACUUUAAUGACCCUAACGCGUCGUCUUGUGACGAUGCUUCGACCGCGACCCCA